rnacentral:rRNA from 1 species
UACGUAGGGGGCGAGCGUUGUCCGGAUUUAUUGGGCGUAAAGGGUACGCAGGCGGCCAUGUAAGUCAGGUGUGAAAUUCUAUAGCUUAACUAUAGUAAGCACUUGAAACUGUGUGGCUUGAGUUAAGGAGAGGAAAGUGGAAUUCCUAGUGGAGCGGUGAAAGGCGUAGAUAUUAGGAGGAAUAACAGAGGCGAAGGCGACUUUCUGGACUUAUACUGACGCUGAGGUACGAAAACGUGGGGAGCAAACAGG